AACGAACGCUGGCGGCGUGCCUAACACAUGCAAGUCGAAUGGAUUUGAGGGGCUUGCUCCUCAAGUUAGUGGCGCACGGGUGAGUAACGCGUAGAUAAUCUGCCCGACGAUCCGGGAUAACAGUUCGAAAGGACUGCUAAUACCGGAUAAGCCCACGUGGUCUUUGGACCGUGCGGGAAAAGGGGGGGACCUUCGGGCCUUCUGUCGUCGGAUGAGUCUGCGUACCAUUAGCUAGUUGGUAGGGUAAAGGCAUACCAAGGCUACGAUGGUUAGCUGGGCUGAGAGGAUGGUAAGCCACACUGGAACGGAGACACGGUCCAGACUCCUACGGGAGGCAGCGGUGGGGAAUUUUGCGCAAUGGGCGAAGGCCUGACGAAGCAACGCCGCGGGAGUGAUGAAGGCUUUCGGGUCGUAAAGCUCUGUCAGGGGGAAAGAAGUGUAUUGUGGCUAAUAUCCACGAUACUUGACGGUACCCCCAAAGGAAGCACCGGCUAACUCCGUGCCAGCCGCCGCGGUAACAC
rnacentral:rRNA from 1 species